rnacentral:tRNA from 1 species
UUAAGUUAGUUUAAUGGUGGGUGAAUAAAUAUUUUAACUUUUUGGUUGGGGGUUCGAAUCCCCCAACUUCAA